AUAUUAAUAAGCGGAGGAAAAGAAACUAACAAGGAUUCCCCUAGUAACGGCGAGUGAAGCGGGAACAGCUCAAAUUUGAAAUCUCCGAGGGUGAAACUUCGGCGAAUUGUAGUUUAGAGAAGCGUUUUCAAAGCACGGGGGCUGCCCAAGUCCCUUGGAACAGGGCAUCAAAGAGGGUGAGAAUCCCGUUUCGGUGGUCGACCGUGCUUGCUACGAUACGCUCUCGACGAGUCGGGUUGUUUGGGAAUGCAGCCCAAAAUGGGUGGUAAAUUUCAUCUAAAGCUAAAUAUUGGCACGAGACCGAUAGCGCACAAGUA
rnacentral:rRNA from 1 species